UGGACGGAGGUCUGAUAAGGGA
rnacentral:miRNA from 1 species